AGGAUAGAUGGGAAGAUGUGGGCUUUUUUGUAACUAUUUCAUUAAAAAUUAUGUGUCAUUAAUUUAUUGGAUACUUAGUAAUGUAUUUUGAUCUUUAUUUUUAUUUUUUAAAAAUUUGUUAGUAUAAAUAAUAACACCUUUAAAAUGAGUUGAUACGAAUUAAUUAGUCACUUAAUUCAUACCGGAACCUCAUGUAAUUCACGCAUCAAAGUUGAUAUUGAAUUGUGUUAAAGUGAUACAAUUUAUAAUUACUUGGUAAUAUUCACUUGAGAUAUUAAAGUAAAAAUCGUGUUAAGUUUAUGCGCAACAAUGGUUUGGCCGAAAUAUGCGUGAUAUCCCUCUUCCAAGGACCCUUUGUCUCUUCCAAUUACCCAGAACAACAACAAUGGGCGACCCUCUCUCCUCCUCUCUCCCUCAUCCCUCCCUUCCACCACCCACCAAAACAGAAAACCCAACCUCCCUCUAUAUGAUUAUUAUUUGUUUGAUUUUGACUACCCAAGGAAUUCCGAGAAAACAGUCGCGGUUUAGUGAAAACCGGUCAUUAAUGGCUUUGAAAAGGCCGAUUGGGAGGAGAUCUCGAUUUGAAAAUUCAAAAUCUUCCCUCUUCUUCCCGUUUUUUUAUUUUAAGAUUUCAAAUCCGGACUUUCACGUCCGGAUCUGUGCCUAUAAAUGGGGAGAGGCGUUGUUUUGCUUGAGCAGAAGUUGGAUGAGCGAAGAACAAGGUUUUUAGAGAAGGAAAAAGGAGGUUUUUGAGAUUAAAAAAGGGGGGGUUGAAAUUAGAGUGAAAACAAGGAAAAAAAGAAGAAGAAGUAGAAUUCGAGAGAAAACUCGAAAGGAGAGGAACUCGGUAUAGAGGGGUCUUGAAAUCGCAGGUUUUCUUUCAGUUUUUCGAGGUAUACUCGGUGUCUUGUGUUUGGGACUGUUGACCGCCCGAAAUCCUUGACGUUGAGCCCGAGUUUGCUGCACCAGAAAAGUAUGAUCAGACGGUGAGCUAAAUCGCUGUAGAUAGGCCGGAGAAUCGCCAGAAUAGAAGCGAUAAAGUGGUGCCUGGCGGUGAUUUUGGGUCUAUGUUACACCGGAAAAGGUUGCUCAGGUCAGAUCUGUAACGAAGGCGGAAGCGAUGCCUAGUACUGUUGAAUACAUCUCGAUAAAUAUCCAAAUCAUAAAGAAUUAUGAUGUAAAUAUGAAAUGUAAAAUUUUAAGAAUCAAACGUUAAUCAAACUUGUAAGAUAUGUUAAUUAAUUAAUAAGGUAUAUAUGUGUGUGUGUGCGCGAUAAGGGUAUUUUUGUCAUAAAAAUGUAAUUUUCUGCUUUUUUCUUUUCAGAAGCAGAAAUUUUCUACUUCAUCCCAGAAGCAGCUUAUUUUUAAAAAUAUUUUUACAAGUUUAUCAAACACUCUUAUUUUAAAAGAAAAUAUUUUUUCUCAAAAUAAGUGCUUAUUUUGGAAAAUAAACAAUCCCAAACAGGCUAUUAGUUUGGAUAAGAAUAGCUUAUCUUUGGUAUGUGUGUAUUGGGCAAAUUACAUAUAAAGGGAAAUUGACGUCAUUAUCUCGACAAACUCGACUAAAUAGAUUGUGAUUAGCCUUGUGUGUUCAACAUGUUAUUUACCUAAACUUUUGUACCUUAAAUUUAGCAAAAUUUAGAGACUUAUCAUCACUUAAGUAGUGGACCAUAUACCAUAACCAUGGAAAAUUCAUUUAUUUAUUUAUUUGUUUACUUAUUUUUGUGUUAUGUCUCAAUAUGCGGAUUUGUUUAUCAAUUAUUAAUCCUUAUUUGUUUUUUUCACAUGUUAACACGGGAAUUGGAGUUCCACAAUGAAACUCAUUUUAAUCCAAGCAUCGGAUCAAUCGCUACUUGGAUUACAAGAGCCCCGAAAUUGCAAAAUUAGAAGUUCAAGUUUUGAAACGGAGUCUAGUACCCCUUCGUCAUUUUCCUUAAAUUUAUUAUAAAUUUAUUAUCAUAUUUUGAUCUGCUUUAGAAUGAUAAUUACCUCUACUUUGUUAUUAAGUUUGUUUGAGAUAACUUUAUUUAUCACUUUAUAAUUGCUCUAUUAUGUGUCGAUCUCUUAAAUAGUA